UACAGAGGGUGCGAGCGUUGUUCGGAAUUAUUGGGCGUAAAGCGCUUGUAGGCGGCACGUCAAGUCGCGUGUGAAAUCCCCAGGCUUAACCUGGGAAGUGCGCGCGAAACUGACGAGCUUGAGUGCCGGAGAGGGUCGCGGAAUUCCCGGUGUAGAGGUGAAAUUCGUAGAUAUCGGGAGGAACACCAGUGGCGAAGGCGGCGACCCUGGGACGGACACUGACGCUGAGACGGCGAAAGCGGUGGGGAGCAAACAGG
rnacentral:rRNA from 1 species